UACGGAGGGUGCGAGCGUUGUCCGGAAUCACUGGGCGUAAAGGGCGCGUAGGCGGCGCGACAAGUCAACGGUGAAAGCUCGGGGCUCAACCCCGAGUCGGCCGUCGAUACUGUUGGGCUGGAGCACUGUAGAGGCAGGUGGAAUUCCGGGUGUAGCGGUGGAAUGCGUAGAGAUCCGGAAGGACACCGGUGGCGAAGGCGGCCUGCUGGGCAGUAGCUGACGCUGAGGCGCGACAGCGUGGGGAGCAAACAGG
rnacentral:rRNA from 1 species